rnacentral:rRNA from 1 species
AUUGAACGCUGGCGGCAUGCCUUACACAUGCAAGUCGAACGGCAGCACGGGUGCUUGCACCUGGUGGCGAGUGGCGAACGGGUGAGUAAUAUAUCGGAACGUACCUUAUUGUGGGGGAUAACGCAGCGAAAGCUGUGCUAAUACCGCAUAAUCCCUAAGGGGGAAAGCGGGGGACCGUAAGGCCUCGCGCCAUUAGAUCUGCCGAUACCUGAGUAGCUAGUUGGUGAGGUAAAGGCCCACCAAGGCAACGAUCAGUAGCUGGUCUGAGAGGACGAUCAGCCACACUGGGACUGAGACACGGCCCAGACUCCUACGGGAGGCAGCAGUGGGGAAUUUUGGACAAUGGGGGCAACCCUGAUCCAGCAAUGCCGCGUGAGUGAAGAAGGCCUUCGGGUUGUAAAGCUCUUUUGUCAGGGAAGAAACAGCAGCUCUAACACAGUUUGCGAAUGACGGUACCUGAAGAAUAAGCACCGGCUAACUACGUGCCAGCAGCCGCCGUAA